AUAGUAGUGUCAGAGUUUGAUCCUGGCUCAGGAUGAACGCUGGCGGCGUGCUUAACACAUGCAAGUCGAACGAACGACUUAUGUUGGAGUUCUUCGGGACAAAGAGAUAAGAAGUUAGUGGCGGACGGGUGAGUAACGUGUGGGUAAUCUGCCUUUGUCAAAGGAAUAACUAUUCGAAAGAAUAGCUAAAACCGUAUAACAUAUACUAAGGGCAUCCAAAGUAUAUCAAAACUGAGGUGGACAAAGAUGAGCCCGCAUCUGAUUAGCUAGUUGGUGAGAUAAAAGCCCACCAAGGCAACGAUCAGUAGCCGGCCUGAGAGGGUGAACGGCCACAUUGGAACUGAGAGACGGUCCAA
rnacentral:rRNA from 1 species